UACGGAGGGGGCGAGCGUUAUUCGGAAUUAUUGGGCGUAAAGGGCGCGUAGGCGGCACGAUAAGUCAAAGGUGAAAUCCCUCGGCUCAACUGAGGAACUGCCUUUGAAACUGUCGAGCUUGAGUCCGGGAGGGGGUAGCGGAAUUCCCAGUGUAGCGGUGAAAUGCGUAGAUAUCGGAAGGAACACCAAUGGCGAAGGCAGCCGCCUGGGCCUGAUCUGACACUGAGACACGAAAGCGUGGGGAUCAAACAGG
rnacentral:rRNA from 1 species